GAUGAACGCUAGCUACAGGCUUAGCACAUGCAAGUCGAGGGGCAGCGGGAUUGAAGCUUGCUUCAAUUGCCGGCGACCGGCGCACGGGUGAGUAACGCGUAUCCAACCCUCCGUACACUCAGGGAUAGCCUUUCGAAAGAAAGAUUAAUACCUGAUGGUAUCUUAAGCACACAUGUAAUUAAGAUUAAAGAUUUAUCGGUGUACGAUGGGGAUGCGUUCCAUUAGGUAGUAGGCGGGGUAACGGCCCACCUAGCCAACGAUGGAUAGGGGUUCUGAGAGGAAGGUCCCCCACAUUGGUACUGAGACACGGACCAAACUCCUACGGGAGGCAGCAGUGAGGAAUAUUGGUCAAUGGCCGAGAGGCUGAACCAGCCAAGUCGCGUGAAGGAAGAAGGAUCUAUGGUUUGUAAACUUCUUUUAUAGGGGAAUAAAGUGGAGGACGUGUAGGAUUUUGUAUGUACCGUAUGAAUAAGCAUCGGCUAACUCCGUG
rnacentral:rRNA from 1 species